rnacentral:ncRNA from 1 species
UAUUCUCUGGAGAGUUCCUGUAAGGACGCCGAAGGUGUAAGGAAAGAAAAAAGCAGUUCUUUCCGAUCUCUCAGGCAAAAGGACGGAGUA